AUCUAUUCCCUGUUCUUUGUCAACAAUAACUGGUAUCUGUUUUUCAGCCUCCAUCAAAUUCUGUGUGUGAACGCCUGUAUAAGAUAUACAUAUAUUCUGUAAAAAUCACAGGUGAGGAGGUGCAGUGUAGAAAAGACAGAAAGGUAUCUACUGCAGUGGCCCUCAGACUCAAAGCUCCAAGUGAGAUUGAGCCAGAAGAAUACUAUCCAUACUUCCUGGAGAUGGUGAAGAGUUUGCUGGACGGGAACUUAAAAUCCAAACAGUACGAGGACAAGCUGAGAGAGACGUAUGGUAUUCAUGCCUACAUCGCAUUCACAUUAGAGAAGUUUGUAUAGAACCUUGUCAGACAGAUGCAGCACAUUGUCCAGGAUGAGGUUUGCUUGAAUAUCACUGCACUGUUGCAGGAGGAACGUACUAAGAAU